ensembl:snRNA U6 U6 spliceosomal RNA
GUGCUUGCUUCGGGAGCAUAUAUACUAAAAUUGGAAUGAUACAGAGAUGAUUAACAUGGCCCCUGCACAAAGAUGACAUGCAAAUUCAUGAAGUGUUCCAUAUUUUA